GCUGCUCCUAGUACGAGAGGACCGGAGUGGACGCAUCACUGGUGUUCGGGUUGUCAUGCCAAUGGCACUGCCCGGUAGCUAAAUGCGGAAGAGAUAAGUGCUGAAAGCAUCUAAGCACGAAACUUGCCCCGAGAUGAGUUCUCCCUGAGACUUAGAGUCUCCUGAAGGAACGUUGAAGACGACGACGUUGAUAGGCCGGGUGUGUAAGCGCAGCGAUGCGUUGAGCUAACCGGUACUAAUGAACCGUGAGGCUUAACCUU
rnacentral:rRNA from 1 species